rnacentral:misc_RNA from 1 species
UCUCCGUUGGUGAACCAGCGGAGGGAUCAUUGCUGGAACGCGCCCCAGGCGCACCCAGAAACCCUUUGUGAACUUAUACCUUACUGUUGCCUCGGCGCUAGCUGGUCCUUCGGUGCCCCUCACCCUCGGGUGUUGAGACAGCCCGCCGGCGGCCAACCAAACUCUUGUUUCUACAAUGAAUCUCUGAGUAAAAAACAUAAAUGAAUCAAAACUUUCAACAACGGAUCUCUUGGUUCUGGCAUCGUUGAAGAACGCAGC